ACCCCUGAACUAGAACAUAAAUAGUUACAUCCACAUGUAACACAGGUUCCCAUACAUGCAAACUAACAAUAUGUAACAGAUCACAGUAAGAAUCAAAGUUUAGUUAGCAACGCUUAUUGCGCAUGCGUAUUAGAUUACGUAAUGACGUACGUAUUAAAUAUGAAAUGAGGUGAUGAAUAUUAAAUAUUAAAAUGAUGUAAUGAUUUAUGUGAUUGGUUAAAUUGAAAUCCUUUGUCUGAAAUGUUAUAAAUACCCCUGCCCGACCUUUGGGCGGGGUUCCAGUAUUCCGAAAAGAUUCGACUGUAACCUUAUUGCUUUGCAAUAAACAUAAUGGACUCCUAACUCCUCUUGUCUCUGAGUUUUAGUGGCUAACUCAGAAGAUAAGCCAUUUUUGUCUUACAACACAGUGAUGCCAACUUUUCAAAGUCUGAUUGUUACCGUAAUGUCUCCAGGAAACCCUGGACUUCGGCAGUAAGGAAGCAAUGCUGCUAAAACAGUCUUUACUAAACUGCAGUCAUAGUUUAUUAGUUUAUUAAAGAGUUACACAGGAACGACAUCCACCCUGCAGCCCUAACUGUUCACCUACAUCACAGUUACUUAAACUUCUAAAACUUUCCAGAAAACUUCUAAAAUGAAACUACAACCCUAGUUUUCGUUUCUGGUUUGCACUCCCUGGUAUUUAACUAAAAUAAAGAAACAAAACACAAAGGUUUCCCCAAGGAAACUAAUCAAGGGAGGUGAGUUACUGUUACUUUUCCUUUUACUAUAGGAAAAAUAAUCACUUCAAGGGAGGUGAUCCACUGUAAGAGUGAACUACCCUCCCUCCCAACACACACCUGAAGAAGUGCAGAAUGUCUGCAGUCUCAAGGAGUGGGGCAGCCCCCCUUUUAUGGCCAUGGGGCAGCUAAGUUAGGGACAUCUGUAACAGGAAUUUUGUCUCCAAAAAAGUCUUUUAUAAUAAAAUCUUGGAAGGUAUUUCCAUUACAUCUUCAGGCAAACUGUCAAAUGAGUGGUGUAUCACCACUGCCAACUUUGAUCAGCCAAUGGCUGAAAUCUGUGUCAACUGAGCGUAUAUUCUUUUUAAGUUUAAGUACCGUACUUGGAAAUUAGUCCACAGUCUAUUAUUCUUAACACAGGCCUCAACAAUUUUUGUCCGGUCACCGUGAGAUACCACGGGAAGUGUUUGCCUGAAAUCUCCUCCAAGUAAGAUUACUUUUCCUCCAAAUGGUUUGCUGUUUUCCAUUAUUUCUUGGAGCAGUCUGCUAACCACUGCAAGAGCUGCAGAGGGGGCCAUAGUACAUUCAUCCCAAAUUACUAUUUUUGAAUUUCUUAAACGUUCAGCAUCAACAGAAUUGAGUCGUAUAUUUGAUGUUGUAUUCUCAACAUCAAGGUAACUUGAAUUGGGAGUGGUAUGUUCUUCCACCCUCAAGAAGAUUGGCUGCUAUACCUGUGGAGGCUACAGGUAGUGCAAUAUUUCCUUGUCCACGAACUGUGCUGAGCAGGGUCUUGUAAAGAUAUGUUUUACCACUACCUCCUGGGCCAUCUAUGAAAAAACAGUGGUUGCUAAGGUUGUCAUUUUCAGUUGCUUGCAAUAUUGUUUGUAAAGCUGUUUUUUGUUCUUUGUUUAAUGUAAUUGUCAUUUCUUCUGCUUUUUGUUUUUCAAAGACUUGGUUGUAGUUACUGCAAGUAAGUCUGAAUUUGGUAGUAUAGGUGGUAAUCCAAAAUCUUCACAUUUCCCCCCAUGGAGCAGUAGACUGUUACAUAUUUCCUGUAACGCGAUAGAACGGCAUAUUGUGCAUUCAUCGUUGUGAUGGAUAGGUUUUUGAAAGAUAUCUUCGGUGAGCUACUGUUCAUCUUUUACAAAAAGAUCAUACAUGUUCUGUAGGGAGGCAAAUACACAAAUGUACGCAAAUAACUCUCUUAGUUGUUUUGGCAAGCUUUAUUGGAUAGCAUCUUCUAAAGUGUUCUCCCACACUUGAUCAUCAUUGAUGAGGCCUCUUUCUUGCGCAGCAUCUUGGAAACUGGGAUAGAUAUUUCCAUUGACAGUUCUCAGAUCUUCAAAUGAUAUUGCACCGGGAACAUGGUGCAAUGGGAGACGCAUGCAGUAGCGUUCUGGAUCUGAUGAUAAAUUGACAGAAUACAUUCGUCCAAUGAUUUUGUCUGCACCCCGCUGUCGUAAUUUCCAUGUACUGGUUUCAGAGUCAAAUACAUAGUGUAUUGGAAUGUCCGAAUAUAACAUUUUCCUUGCUUGCUCUUGCUCCUGAUUUAAUUUAAACCAAGCCGUCAGGUUGCUUUGCUAACACUAGUGGAAUGAUCACAUCCCUCCCUUUGCAGAGAUCAGAGGUAAAUCCAUCUCCUUGUUGAAGUUAAUGAUCUGUUGAGUCUUUGAACAUUUAUUUUUCCUGUAUAUAUUAUUCAGUCUUGUGUCAAUUGAGAAUUUCUUGCUGAAGCUCUCUGGGCCGCUGCAUUGAUGUCAUUUGGAUUGAGAAAUACAGAUUGUUCAUCAGGCCGAUGCACUGCUAACCUAUGGAUGGUAUGUGAUUGGUAAUGCGUUUUGUCGCGGUCACUCUGACCUGCACACCACCCCCGGACGUUUGACGGUCUAUUGAUGAUGUGCCAACGACAAACUAAAUACUUUCAGUCACUCACACACCUCAGACCAGGAUAUUGUAAAAUAAAACAAGAUGGUUUAUUGUAUGUUCUUAAGCGUAUUGGUUACUGUACAAAGCUUAAACGGUUUCAAAUCACAGAUGGUUCCUAUACCGGCCUAAUACAUCUAAAUAUGAAUUACCGGCCUAUUACCUCUAAAUAUAACUAAUAAUAAUUAUCACUAAUCUCAUAACACUGUAUCCUGUCUGACUAUCUCACUAUCUAACAGCCACCUCAAUAAUAACCAGCUCUUAUUUUCACACCAACUCUAACCUGACUGACUUCAACCAAUAACUCCCUUCAACAACCUCACUGACUGACUCCAGGGGUGGGGUUUUUAUACUCCCCCAGAGCCCUCCCCCCUGGGUUCUUAGGGUUCUAACAGGGUUAACCCUCUACAGCCUGGCUAAUUUUUAAACUGAUCGCUACACAUUUCAAACCCAUUGAAACGCCAUGCUGCUUCUGGAGCGCGGACGUAUCUGGAAUCCAGGAAGGUCUUAGUUUCAUCAUGGUUUAAAGUGCCUUGUUCUUGAAUCGCAACAUUUGCACAAUCAUGAUCUUUGUACACAUAUUUAAAAAGGUAUUUGACACUUUUUAUGGAAGCACAGACUUCAACAUUAAUGUGGCAGUUGUACUUGAGGGCAAGAUGUGGAUUAUAUGGUAUAACCCAAUGGUUAUCUAUUGUCCUGCCAUUCACAAUUGAAGUUUGGUUUGUGUUUCUUCUAUAUUUUGGAUAACCAUUUGUAUUUGCUGAUGUUUUUUCCUGGAAUGGAUUUGGAAAUUCCUUAGUGCAUUUGUCAUUUGACAUACAUGGUGAAUUAGGGUUGAGUGGUCCGCAUGGUCCAUGAAUCAUAUGUUUUGUAACAAUUGCAUGAAAGCGAGGAGUGUUGGUUAUAUUUGGAAUUUCAGCAGAUACAAUUUUGUCUAUCAGAUCUUCAGUUUUGGGUUUGCAGUCAUCUUUAAGAAUAAGUAAUAUGUGAGCAUAUGGCAAACCCCUCUUCUGAAAUUCUAUUACGUAGACAAUUGCUUUUGGUACUCCAAAAAUAAUGUUUUUUACAGAGAUCAUCAAUUAAAGCUUUCAGUUUUAGAUGAAAUACUCUUGCAACUAAAUCAGGUCGAGCAUCAGUAGUUUGGCCAUGUUGUAGGUUUUCAACAAUCUCUUCCCAUUUGGGGUUGCACGUCAUUGUAAUAAAAUGAUCAGGUUUGCCAUAUUUUCUAACAAUUGGCAUUGCAUCUUGAUAAUUUUGGAGCAUGUUUCUUGGCCUACCUGCAAAUGAGGAAGGUAAAAUAUAUGUUUUUCCAGGAAUCAGGCCUUUCUGAUUGGAUUCAUUAAUUAAGUGGUCCAUCAAUCCUGAGUAUUUUUCAACUCGCAAUUUUUGCUGAUUUUGUCGUACGUAGUUGAGUCUGUUGGAUUCAGUUUUAUAGUUGACUAGCUGACCCGGCCACGCGUUGCUGUGGUUUUUUCCUGUGAUCCUCCCCCCCCCCAAUCCUGUCCCGAUCCAUGACGUAUCCUGCCCCUCCUCCCUCCACCCCGGCUCAUUCCUGUGUUUCGGUAGGAUAGCCUUUCCUCUGUUGUCCCUGGGGAGUGUUGGCCCCUCCCCCAUGUAUCUCCAUACCUUGGCCCCCACCAUUGGAGAAGGAACUGAUAGUUUAUGGGUUGGGUUUGUUUAAUUUUUUUUUAAUGUGAUAGUACUUGUGGGUAGACAAUAUUUUUAGUUGUUCCAUUUGUUGUGAAGAUGUAGAGCAGGCACCCCCAACCUUCGGCCCUCCAGAUGUUUUGGACUACAAUUCCCAUAAUCCCUGACCACUGGUCCUGUUAACUAGGGAUCAUGGGAGUUGUAGGCCAAACCAUCUGGAGGGCCGCAGUUUGGGGAUGCCUGGUGUAGAGAUUAUCUGGUUUGCCGACUCUUGAGCAUGUAACAUAUAGUUGUCCAUGUGAGAAGCAAUCCGAUUCUAGGUAUAAUCCACAGAAUUGUAAUGAUUGGCCUUGUGAUUUGUUGAUGGUGAUAGCGAAUGCUAAGCGAAUAGGGAAUUGCAGUCUUUUAAAUCGAAAGGGAACAUCUGUUGGAAUGAUCGGAAUGCGAGGAAUAAGGGCAUCUUCACCUUUGUUAGGUCCUGUUAAGAUUGUGGCUUCUAUGACGUUGGGUAAUAAGUUUUUUACUGCUAGUCGUGUGCCAUUGCAAAGUUUAGGCUGGUUUAUAUUUCUUAACAUGAUGAUUGGUACACCAAUUUUUAAAUGUAGUAAGUGUGGUAGUAUUCCUGGUAGUUUGAGGGAGUUUAAGAAUUCUGUAGAAUAGUUAAAAAGAAAAGCCUAGUGGAAGCCUUGGUUUGGUGUGGUUCCCCCCCCCCCCCGGCCUGUCAGGGGCCUACAUAAAAGAAAAGCCUAGUGGUGGUUCCCCCCCGGCCUGUCAGGGGCCUACAUAAAAGAAAAGCCUAGUGGAAGCCUUGGUUUGCUGUGGGUCCCCCCCCCCCCGCCUGUCAGGGGCCUAUAUAAAAGAAAAGCCUAGUGGUGUGAAAAUGGCCGCUUUGGAGGUUUGAUUAGCUUGGUUGAUGAUGAUGUCAUUUGGUUUGUGGGUGUGGCUUAUAUUUCACAGGAAGGGAGGGGGUGGAGGAGGGUACUACGCCACUUGAGGGCGCUGUUUGACUUGGUGGAAAAGCAGGUCUGUACCUGGGCAGGUGUGCGACUUGAGGGAUUUUUGCCCCCAACAACGCUCUAGGAGUGGCCUGGAUCGUUGUGUCAAAAUUUCAGGACGAUCGGUCAAGCGGUUACGGAGAAAAGUGUCAAACGGAAUUUCACGAUUUUUACAUUUUUAUAUAUAUAGAUAUGCAUCAACUAUAUACUGUUGUGUAAGGCGGCCAGCAUUUAAGAAGGGGUUAAAGUUGUCUCUGAUGGAAAGACGAUACCCGUAAUAUUGCAUUUGUGUAACUCGAAUUCUAGGAUUUCAUGUUUGAUUUGUUAAACAUUCUAACGCUUGAGGUCUGUGUUGCAAAGGUAUAUCAAUUCCCCAGCUUUGAUCACGAUAAGGGAAGAGUAAUGGAUAAACCAUGGGUUCCGGAUUGGGGUCAAGGACACUAAUCCUUUGUGUUUUUCUUUUAUUUAUAUCAUCUGUACUUGCUUUGCAGUGUAUUAGAAGAUCUCUUUCUUGUGGUGGUUCGCCAUCAUCUUUUUGAAAAAUGAAAGCAACCUCAUUAUGUUUUGGUGCAUUAUAGCGUAUUUGGUCAUUUCUAUGAUCUUGCACUAUUGUCAUGGUCACUUCCUUAAUAAUGUUUCCCGUUGUUGCAGCAUCCUCCUCAUAUUCUUUUUCAACUUGGUACAACAUUUUGCAGGCCUCUGCAAAUGGAUUUGUUUGAGCAAUGAGUGUGCUUAGUGUUUUUAUAAUUUCUGGAUUUAUUCCAGUAUUUGCUGAAUUUUGCAUUCUUUGCUCUGCUGCUUCAGAAGGAUCUAAAAUAUAUAAUUGAGCAAACUGUCUCUUUUGUCCCUGUUCUGGGUGCAGUGUGCCUGCUCUGUGACAAAUUGAUCCGUGGAUCCGGAAACAAUAUGGGCCAUUGCCAGGUGGUGGAAUAAUGUUUUAGCUUGCCGGCCAGGCUGCUGAAACUGCCUGCAAGGAGGUGCCAAGAUGGCGCUGUGGGGCGGUGGCGUGGGGGCCCGGAGUCCGUGGCGGGCAAUGGCUUUUCUUCCAAGCAGGUAAACCGGGUCUGGCGGCUGGUAGCGGGCAGGAGAGAGUUGGGCUAUCCCAUUUGGCUGGCGCUGGGUGGACACGUGGAGGCAGCGUGGCCGGCAUAGGGAGGUGGCGCCGGCCAGCACGGCCGGGAAACCGGACUGAGCAUGGCCCUGGGGUUGGGAGGCAAGGAGGGCAAAGGCAGCGCUGGAACAGGGCAGGAACGGGUACCCUCGAAAGGGAGCUUCGGGGGCAGGAGGUGGAAAUGCUUCACAGAACAUCUGGCUCCAGCUUUUGCGAAUGGUGGCGUGCUGGAGAGGCCCGCGGGCACCCGCCGCCACUUGUAACGGCCGCUGCCGUGCACACCCACCGCUUCAACAGUUCCUUCUGGCCGUCCGAACACUGUGUUCCAAGUCCCAACGGCUGUCCGUGGGGCACAUGCGCAGUAGCGCAAUCCCACGGACACUGACUGGACGCAGAGACACUUGGAUAUUAUUAUAGGGGAUUCUAGCGUUGGAAGCAUCAGUGAAGACAGUGAACUCUUGAUUGUAAUCUGGUGCAGCAAGAACUGAUCCUGAUGUCAAAGCUCUUUUCAAGAGCAUCAAAGCUCUUAACUCCCUCCCCCCAGGGCUUGUUUUCUAACCUAACUGACUCCGCCCCCUGGGUUCCUACUGGUUAAACAAUUAACUCUUUCACUCUCCGCACUAAUGCCACACCCGUCCUUCUAGCACAUUCGGUGUUGCUCAGAGCAACUUCACAGCAAUUAAAAGGGUGGGUUUUAAACAGGCAUCGCGCCCACCCGUGAUAUUUUAUACACAUUUGUCUGUGCUCACAUCCCCCACUCCCAGUUUAUUUAUUUAGCUUAAAUCAACAAAAUGGAUUGACUUGGUCCAGUGAUGCCAACUUUUCAAAGUUUGAUUGUUACUUAAACUUCUAAAACUUUCCAGAAAACUUCUAAAAUGAAAGUACAACCCUAGUUUUCGUUUCUGGUUUGGACUCCCUGGUAUUUAACUAAAAUAAAGAAACAAAACAAAAAAGCUUUCCCCGAGGAAAAAUAAUCACUUCAAGGGGGGUGAGCCACUGUAACAGUGAACUACCCUCCCUCCCAACACACACCUGAAGAAGUGCAGAAUGUCUGCAGUCUCAAGGAGUGGGGCAGCCCCCCCCCCUUUAUGGCCAUGGGGCAGCCGGGGUGAGACUGAAACUUGUAGACAUGCCUCAAAAGCUGGAUGUUGGGAGAUUCGGGAAAGGUUUUACAAUAAGCCCUCCUUCAAGCAGUGCAGUUAACCUAUGGAACUCAUUCCCGCAGGACGGCUUUGAAAGAGCAAUGGACAGUCGAAUGCAGGAGGAGGGGGCCAUUGUUGGCUACAAGCUACGAUGGCUGUGCUCUCUUUCUGGGUACCAGUUGCUAGAAACCUCAGGAGGGGAGAUGGCUCUUGCGCUCGGGUCCUGCUUGUGGGUUUCUCAAAGGCAUCUUGUUGACCACCGGGAGAAUGGGAUGGUGGACUGGGUGGUCCAUUGGCCACUGGAUUCUGACCCCAGGCCUGCUCCCAUCCAGGGCUGUGGUGGACGGGCUUGCCUCAACGGUGUUUGGAGCACUUUCUGAAAAAGCUGGUCAGGCCGUGUAGAUGGCGGCUCUUGGGGUCCCUAUUUGCUAGCAUUCCUUUGUGGCUUCGCCACCCCCACCCCCCACCCCGAGCUCCAUUGAAGGACGUGUGGCUGCAACUUCUCAGCUGCACUGCAAGGCGCAAGUUUCCAUGUCUGCUAGUCAAACAGCCAUUCAGCUCAGCCCUCUCAAGGCCACUCGACUGCUUCAUUAAACAUUAAAUAUUCCCCCUCCCUCCCCACUCAAUGACAUAUUGCAAUGAAUAUGCUAGUUUUAAUUGUAUUUUGAUUUGAUUUUUUCUAAAGAAAACACUUUUUAGUUCUAUUUGGUGCUGCUGAUUAGCAACCUUCCGUGGAAGCAUAAUCAGGCAGGACAGAGGAAUGAGGAAGAGUCUGUGUGGGUCUGUCCUCUGCAAAGCAAAUUUUUUAAAAAUUUUUUUCAUAUUUUAUUACUUGUAUCUAUAAAGUGAAGCUUUUCAUCAGUUUUGCAUCAAAAUCACAGCUUGUCCUGCAAAUGUCCUCAGAUUUUAAGUCCAGGCAAAAGUUUUUCUAACAAAUUCAUUGUGCCUUAGGUCCCAGUGCAGUUCAGCAUAGCAUCCCCCUGUGGACAUAUUGCCAGACAUGAAACAAAUUGAGAGCCGUUUCAUGCAAAAUGCUUCCCCUUAGAAAAAUCUCUGUGCAUUGGGUCCUUUGUGAAAUUGAAAAUAACACCCCCCUCCCUGACACAUUGCCAGAAAGAAAUGAACUUCUAAUCGCUUUGCUAAUGUGCGUGGCUUCAAAGGCUUUGGUUUUUAAGGGCAGAUGGGGGGGGGCAAGUGCAGAUAAGCUGAAGGGCUACCUGCCCACAAUUGCAGAGACGAGAGGAUGGGGGUGCACCACUGUAAUAGUGAGACCCCCCCCCCAAAGGAUGCGCAAAACGGCAAUCAGAGGGACAACUGCCAGUUCCUAAAACGCAGCCGUGUGGUUUCUAGAGCAAGAAAACGGUGACUGCCAGAGUCUUUUCUGAAGCCCUUUUCCAGGGGCCAUUCUCCAGAUGAGUCUCUCUCUCCCCCACCCACACAUGCCCUGCCUAAUUCCAGGGGGUUAUCCCCCUCCUGUUGUGUUACCUGAAGGCAAAAAUCAUUGACAAAACGGGUCACCUGCGCGCUCUGCCUCCGGCUGCCGCACAGCUCCGACUCCUCUCUCUGCUCUUCAGCUGCCUUGUAGUCCCAGGGAUCGGGGCAGCUGGCCUUCUACGGCCAUGGGGUGGACCAGAGUGAAGACCGCUGCACUCAGGUCUGCUCCCAAGUCCCGUCCGCCUGGCCUGGCCGGAAUGGCCAGAAUUCAAACCAAGGUUGCCGUGGACACCCAACAUUCUGCUCGGUCGCCAUGGAGAAUUCUCACCCAACUGCCGGCCACCUCUGCAGCGUUGCCCCCAGGGAUCCGGCCCGUUGCGAUGGGCCACAACGGCCACCCACGACAGGACUGGUAUUCUCUUUCGGUUUAUAUGGGUGGUGCAAUUCCAGCAAGAAGCAGCAGAGGAACAAGGAUGCCUCCAUCAAUGCAACGGUAGAGGGCACCUGUCUCUCCACCGCUUCAGACCAGGAUGCUCCUCGGGGGAAGAGGAGCCCUGCACAACAGCCUCCUAGCUAUCGUUGAGCCAUUCAUCCGGUGUGCCGUGGGGGGAAAGAGCUUGGCAGAAACUGGAGGAGUUCUUCACCCAGCAGCAAGGGCCAGGACACCGACCAAGCCGAUUUCCCAGGGUUAAAGCGUUGGCCAGCACAAAACCGCAGUCAGCAUAUCCUGGUGUGGGGAAAGAUCAAAGCUGGAAGCAGAAGGGGAAAGUGUGAACUUCGGCGCCAGUGGAAAACUCAACAUUAUGUGUUGAAAAAUCUGUGUAAUGAGGCAAUGUACAUUUGCUUUGGGCUUUUAUCUCUCGAUUUGCUCUAUUUGUGGAAGUCGUGGUGAAGUAGAGAGACAGUGUGGUGUAGUGGUCACAGCACCGGCCUAGCACCUCUGGGAGAGAGCAGUUUUCAGAUCCCCCCCCACCUGGCCAUGAAGGUAACUGGGUGUGACCUUUGGGCCAUUCAUUCUACAAUGCUCAGAUGAACCUACCUCGCAGGGUUGUUAUGACCAUAGGGGAGAACCAUAUAUGCCACCUUGAGCUCCUUGGAGGAAGGUGGGAGAUAAAUAAUAGCACGUAGUAUAUCUUUUGGGGGAGCACUGAAGAUACUUUAAAUCCAGCAAGCUUCCAUGGUGGGACCCUAAGAAGCUGCCCCCCUGCAUGUGCAGAUUUUGCUCCUGCUUUGGGGAAGAUUUCCCUAGUCAUGGAAAGUUGUUCAAAAACAGUGGUUCCCAAACAUUUUGGGGGCCCCACCCCCUUGGUUCCAAAACCCCACCCCCUGGGGCCACUAAAUUACCCUUUAAAAUGCAUUGCUCACAAUAGUGGUUUGCACAGCUGAGGAAGGACGACAGUAACUCAAUAAAAUUCAAUAAAAACAGUAAAAAUUACUUGCGCAUCUAUUCAAAAUCAAGUGAAAACAUUUUUAAGAAAGCUGAUGAACUGGAUACAAUGAAACCAGCUUUUCAAAGUCCAAUAGUCCUCCCCCUGCUCUUAGCUCCCCGCCAGGUAAUCCCACCAAGGCCCCCACUUUGGGAACCACUGUUAAUGCUGUGCUUUAAUGUUGCAGACCUUGCAAUGAAGGGCAGGUAAAUGAAGAGGAACAUGAAGAACUUUGGGGUCCAUCCUGGGAGUCCAUCGCAACCCACACCCACCUUGAAUUGGCUCUGGUUCUGCCAGCAGUCGGCUGCCCUGGCUGUGCAACCCACUUGCCCCAAGGUUCUGCCUUCUUGAAGGGUGUUUGCCCAUAUUAUCCCAGCAAGGAACAAAUCCAUUUUCCAGUCACAGGUAGUUGGUCACUAAUGCGAAGGCUUUGAAAGGGGCUCUGCAGCAGUUUAGGAAAGUCAUUUGAGUAAUGGGACCCCCCUGCUGUUGCCAAGGAUGCUCUGCUCUGGCAAAUCUGCAUGGCAGUUUCACAUAAAGAGGAUGCCUAAAUCAUGAACAGGACAAUCCCAUCACUUCUGGGGAGAAGGGACUCCUCCCUGUCUGCUACUCUUCCUAAUCUGGGCAUCCUGACUCCGUUAACCAUCCCCAUUCUCAUUCUUUACUUUCUAUAUAACCACCAAUUUAAUAAUUUAGCCAAGUAUACUUGAAGGGUACAUUGGAUAACUCAUUACUGCCGCGCUUCAAACAACAGAAGCAAGCAGAAAGAUGCAGCCACCAUCGCCUGCCUCAGGUGUCGCCCAGCCACCCAAAAUUCACUCUCUUCUUUUAUAUCACUUUUUAAAAAUUAAAUUAUUUCAAGUAUAUAAUAACAACAUCUGUAUAUGUAAUAUGUUUCCAGUCUCCUUCGUUUUGAUUUGCAAGGCCCUUGUCAAGGCAGGCAAAGGCAGGUUCAUUCUAUUGUGAAAAUGGAUAUAAAGGAAAUUUCCAUCUCUUCUGAUGAGAUUGUUGGAAGAUUCAGGGUGGAUAGAAGGAAAGGCCUUCAUGAACCACAUAGGUAAACAGGGGAACUCCCUUCCACAGCAGGCAGCGGUGACCACCAAGUUUGCACAGCUUUAAAAGAGGACGGCAGAUUUGUGGGAGAGGAGAGGGCUGUGGAUGGCUAUGUUAAAACCAGGGAUUGGGGGGGGGAGUUAAACGACUCCCCAAAAGUCCCACGUCCUCACCCACAGCCUCUAACUAAGGCCAGGAAAUGACCAUUGACACGAGCACCAUAGAAGACAACAGCAAAGAGGCUCAGAAAAGCAGUCUAUAGAAUUGUAGCAAUAAGCAAAUACCAUAUAUUGGACUAUUUCCUCUGCCUAUCCAUUAUAGAAAACUGUAGAAACACCAAAUAAUCGCCAAAAUUCAACAGUUUGACGGAUAUCCUUGGUUCCAAAGGCUAAUGACUCCUCUGGAAGAGGGGAAUCCAGGGCUCCCCCUGACUCCAUAAUCCCUUAAGGAUAGGGUCCCAUACUCCUUCCCCUUCCACAAGGUGUGAACUUAGCCACACAAUAGGAGGCAGGAGGCAGUUAAGGGCAGCACUUAUACCCGGACAGAAGCCCAUCGGGAUGGUGGGUCGAAUCCUGAUACUUUCAAAGGAGAAGCACAGGAAAGCCUUGCAGCUUGGGGUAUUUGUGAAUGCUUUUAAUCUUGGGAAGCAGGUAUUUAAAAGGAGUCAGGAGUAAGGAAGAUGGGCUCAUUGUUCUACAUGCCAAACACUCCUGCUUUGUGACAUACUUGUGAUGUAUCAGUGAUGCUGUUGAAAGAUGUAUUGUGGGAGAUGGGGAGAGGUCUUAAAAGUUUGCGCAACCCGAUGCUCGGGGUUUCUAUUCUUGGUGUGUUUGAACCUUGUUGCAGCAAAUACAGAUCAGGUCUACUGACGGCUCUUUUGGUUCUUUAACUUGGCUGGAGACUCCUUUUGCUGACCGGAGGGGCUCACGGGGAGGGGCACCCCAAUGAGCUGGGCAGCAGAGUAAAUCCGCACCCCAGGAUCUUUUCCCUUCUCAGCUACUAGCCAGGGAGGCUGUGCUCUGCCUGCACAGCCAGAAGCAGCAAUGUUUCUGAAUGCCCAUUGCUGGGCGGAGGGCUCAUAGGUGUGUUUGUGUCUCACAUUCAGACAUACAACAUGCCACAGUUACGCAAAAUGAGAAUUAAAGCAGCAGAAUGUGCUCAGAUGAAUGUUUCUGAAUAUAUUAACAAAGUUGUGUUAAAGUGUAUAUAUCAUUACAGAUAUGAAAUUCUUCAUAUUAUCACGUAUGCUUAAAUUGUUGAGCAUUAGUCAAAUGUAUUUUGCAUCAAUAACAAUUUUAAUGUAUAGGGGAAAAGAGGGACAUGAGGAUAUAUACUUCAUGCCCACCAAACUGUACUGUAAACUGUGGAUUCUGUUCUGCCAUAUGCCUCGUUAUUCAUAUAAUUAAUAAAACCCCACCA